GAUGAACGCUGGCGGCGUGCCUAAUACAUGCAAGUCGAGCGAACAGACGAGGAGCUUGCUCCUCUGACGUUAGCGGCGGACGGGUGAGUAACACGUGGAUAACCUACCUAUAAGACUGGGAUAACUUCGGGAAACCGGAGCUAAUACCGGAUAAUAUAUUGAACUGCAUGGUUCAAUAGUGAAAGACGGUUUUGCUGUCACUUAUAGAUGGAUCCGCGCCGCAUUAGCUAGUUGGUAAGGUAACGGCUUACCAAGGCAACGAUGCGUAGCCGACCUGAGAGGGGGGUCAGCCACACUGGAGCUGAGACACGGUCCAGACUCCAACCGGAGGCAGCGUUGGGGAAUCUUCCGCAUGGGGCGGAAGCCUGGCCGGGCAACGCCGCGUGGGUGGUGAAGGUCUUCGGAUCGUAAAACUCUUCUAUUAUGGAAGAACAAAUGUGUAAGUAACUAUGCACGUCUUGAAGGUACCUAAUCAGAAAGCAACGGCUAACUCCGUG
rnacentral:rRNA from 1 species